CAACACGUGAGCAACCUACCGAACUGUGGGGGGAUAGCCGGCCUAACGGCCGAGUAAUACCGCAUACGCUUUCAGUGAGGCAUUUCAUUGAAAGGAAACCUACGGGACAGAUCGAGGGGCUCGCGGCCUAUCAGCUAGUUGGCGAGGUAACGGCUCACCAAGGCAACGACGGGUAGCUGGUCUGAGAGGAUGGCCAGCCACAUUGGGACUGAGAUACGGCCCAG
rnacentral:rRNA from 1 species